CGCCUUGCCAGCCCGCUCAGAACUUAAAGGAAUUGACGGGGGCCCGCACAAGCGGUGGAGCAUGUGGUUUAAUUCGAUGAUACGCGAGGAACCUUACCUGGGCUCAAAUGUAUGUUGACGUAUUUCUGAAAGGGAUACUUCUUCGGACAAUAUACAAGGUGCUGCAUGGUUGUCGUCAGCUCGUGCCGUGAGGUGUCGGGUUAAGUCCCAUAACGAGCGCAACCCCUACCUUUAGUUGCCAUCAGGUAAUGCUGGGGACUCUAAAGGAACUGCCUACGCAAGUAGUGAGGAAGGCGGGGAUGACGUCAAAUCAGCACGGCCCUUACGUCCAGGGCUACACACGUGCUACAAUGGCCGAUACAGAGGGCAGCUACCUGGUGACAGGAUGCAAAUCUCCAAAGUCGGUCUCAGUUCGGAUCGGAGUCUGCAACCCGACUCCGUGAAGUUGGAUUCGCUAGUAAUCGCGCAUCAGCCAUGGCGCGGUGAAUACGUUCCCGGGCCUC
rnacentral:rRNA from 1 species